UUCAAAGUGCUUUGCUAUGUCUGUCUUGUAGGUCCAGUUUGUGGCAGUUAUGUUGCAUAUAUGAGAAUGGAACAAUAUUAUUAAACAUAAUGAGAUUAGAAUUUGUAUAUUUUUCUUAUUCUAACAAUGCUUCAAGAAUCAAUGUAUUAAUGGUGGCGAGUUGGUGGAAAUGCUUGGAAUUGUAAUAACUAGUUUUUUCAUUAUGACAUUUGAUGAUUUGAUUAUCUACUUGCUAAUGUAUCUAUUUAUGUCUUCAAUUCGAACCUCUAGGCAAUUUUAUGAGUUUUUUCUGUUAAUACAUAUAUUUCUGCAGAACAGAGUAAAAACCAAGUCUUGCAAUUUUUCUUCUAUCACUUUUUAUAUAGGAUCUUGACCAAAGAAAAACUUUUAUUUUAUUUUUCUGUCCAGUUAUUGUAUUCAUGGAGGUGAUGAAAUGCUUGUGCUAGAACUUUCUAGUAUGCACCACUAGUGAUAAUAUUAUUUUGUAGUGACCAAGACAUGUCCAAUUUUGAUUGCAGGUCGAUGGUGGAUUAGGGCCUUCAACCAUAGAUGCAGUUGCAUCAGCAAGAGCGAAUUGCACUGUUGGAAGUUAAGUGGUGAGCACCUGAGCCAGCUCAAGUUAUAUACCUGCUGAGGAAUAUUGUAGAGAACGCAUAAUAAACAGAGUAAAGAUAUGUCAUUUAUGUUGCGGUACAAGUCGCAACUUCACAUAUUCAAUAUGCUUGGAAGGGGUGAAUUCCAUCAUUGCUGAAUGUAGCACUCAAAUGCAUGGGCAAUAUUUAGAGAAUGUGGUGCAACUUUCUUUGGAAAUUAUAAUAUUUGUCCUUGAAAAAGAUUUGUUUCUUUCUGAUUAUUGGCGUCCACCGUACAAGGCCAUGAAUAAAGUUUAUAAGCAUGAUAGGGAUCUUGUGAACAUUAAGGUUGUAAAUAAUUUAACGUAGUUGAUUGCGGGAUGAUUUGGAGAGGACGAUGAUGCGGCAUACAAUCAACUAAGAUCAUCUACUGUAUGUUAUCUUGAUACUAGCUCCUAUUUAUCAUUUGUGAAGGUUCUUCAAAUAAUAUUUGUCAGCCAGGAUUUGAACAUGUAUUAUGAGGAAACGGAUAAGCCAGCGUAUGCUCGUACGUCGAAUUUUAAUGAAGAACUUGGUCAAGUUGAUAACAUACUUUCUGAAAGGUCUUAUAACUUUUUGAAUGUAUUAAAGUUUACUAGUGUAUGAAACCGGAUCUCGGUAAUCGUAAGAGACCACAAUGGGAAACUAUUACUUCUUAGUAAAGGUGCUAUUGCUGAUAGUGUCAUGUUUGAACUACUGGGAAAAACUGUUAAGAGAGUUUAAAUAGCUGAAUAAGUAUCACAUUAACGAAUAUGCUGAUUUUGGUUUAAGGACAUUGAUACUCGCCUAUCGUGAAUUCGGUGAAGAAGAGUACAAUCAAUUUAAUAAAGAGCUGACAGAUGCUAAAAACUUAGUAAGUGCAGAUCAGGAGCAGAUUGUUGAGGAUAUAUUGCAAAAUAUUAAAAAAGAUUUAAUUCUUCUUGGUGCUACCACAGCCGAGGAUAAACUACAAUAGGGGGUUCCUUAAUGCAUUGACAAACUAUCAUAGGCUAGGAUUAAGUUAUGGGCAUUGGACAUGUGAUAAAAUGGAAACAUAAAUUAAUAUUAGGUAAGCUUAAAGAUUAUAUAGAUAAAUUUUAAUAUUAUGUAUUUGCA